AUUUGAUUGACCUUGUCCUUCAGCUGUGUACUUCACCUCUUCGGACCCCACACAAAAGAGGACUAACAAUACGACUGGAGGCAGCAACCCGAAGCUAAGGAGAAGAGGUCACGACAAAGUUCAUGCUAACACAGCAACAGAUGGCUCUGGUGGAUUUGGCAACUAAACUUCAAGGUGACUGCAGGUGAUGUUGCUGAAUAUAAAGUUUUUUAGAAAUUUGGCAAACUGUGAGCCAGCUGCCAAAUCCUCCACCGCUGAUGUAAGGGCUGACUUCAUCCACUUCCUGUCAACGCUUCAUGGGGGAAAGCAAGAGAAAAGCCCCGGAUCUUAA